rnacentral:lncRNA from 1 species
CCGCCCCCACACGAAGCCUCCGGCGAACCGCGGGCGGGCAGAGGCGGUCCGGGCAGCGAGCGCUCGGCGUCGCUCUGCAGCUUGGUAUUGUCCUGGCGAGAGUCCUCCAGGACUGUCGGGCGCGGCUGGCACCUCGGUCCUCGCGACGGCGGGAACCGGGACUCGGGCUCUGAACCCGAGUGGUGACCGAGGAGCCGGGCCCGGCUCUCCCGGUUGCACGCGGCUGGGUGGACGCCCGCGCGGGGCUCAUGCGCGCGGGUUCCCGACUCCGACCCGCGGGGGGUCGGUACUGAAGGUUUGGAUGAGAGACCUCAUGUGGGCUUCAGGUCCUCAUCUUCAUGAGCAGAGGUUAGGAGCGUCUUUCCCAGCCCUGUUCUUCUGUCUUGGAUGUAUCUGAAGGCAAGUUGUAAGUCAGACUUGGGACUCAUUUUGCUGGUUUUGCCAAGUGGCAUUUUCUCUGACCGUUCAUCACUUUAGAAGUGUGCUUACUUUCCUGAGUUUUCAUUUUCUUCUAUCAUGUCUAGCUCACAGAGCAAAUACCAACCAAAAAGAGUAACUUGAGGGAUGUGGAGAGAGACUUUCUUUGCACUUUACUAAGUGAGGUUGAUUUUUUGUCAC